AUUUUAUAAUGCUCAGCACUCUGGUUCAGAUACAGAAACAAGUGUGCCUAGAGAUGUGAGCGUGUGCUGAGGCUGUUAAACACAGAAGAGGCAGAGCAGAUGCCCGAGGCAAAGAAGCUGGUAAGAUAUCUCCAUCACCGGAGCGCCCUUUGAAUGCAGACGUGAAGUGCAGAUGAAUUUGUGUCCACAGAGGAAUACCAGUGCCUACCCUGAGCUCAGGAGCAGUCAGCAGGGACAGACUGGCACAUAUGGUGUCCCAGCUGGAUGUGAGCGGGCAGCAGGAGGCCGUCAGACUUCC
ensembl:lncRNA